GUGUUUUUGUGUUGUAUGUGAUGGGAUCAAGCCGCUGGUAUAGUUAGUUCAAAUUCGAAAAAAAUCAAUUUUUCGUGAAAAAAUCGAUACGGGGGGGUAUACCCUAAAAAUGAAAAAUCCCAAACUUUGGAGGUCCAUAUCUCGGCUUCUAUGGGCACUAUCGGGAAAAUUCCAACGGUUUUGACUUAGUUUCGUCCUUCUGAAUCCAACGAGACCAUCCGCAAGGUCGUAGCUCCCAUAUUAGCCGAGAUCUCGCAUUUUUGUGGCCCAUUUUUGGGCUCAAAAACGGGGUCGAAAAUUGACUUUUUUCCGAAUUUUCAAAGUGCUAUAAUUCCACUUGUUCUCGUCAUAUUCCGUUAUAAUCCGGUGUUUUUGUAAUGUAGGUGAUAUGAAUAAGCCGCUGAUAGGGGUUUCUAUAGCUAUUUUCGGGUUUAAAGAAAAUCGAUUUUUCGCAUUUUCAAAGUGCUAUAACUCCCUUAAUUUUUCUCGAAACUCAUUAUAACCCGGUGUUUUUGUGUUGUAGGUGAUGGGAUCAAGCCGCUGGUAUAGUUAGUUCAAAUUCGAAAAAAAUCAAUUUUUGGUGAAAAAAUCGAUACGGGGGGGUAUACCCUAAAAAUGAAAAAUCCCAAACUUUGGAGGUCCAUAUCUCGGCUUCUAUGGGCACUAUCGGGAAAAUUCCAACGGUUUUGACUUAGUUUCGUCCUUCUGAAUCCAACGAGACCAUCCGCAAGGUCGUAGCUCCCAUAUUAGCUGAGAUCUCGCAUUUUUGUGGCCCAUUUUUGGGCUCAAAAACGGGGUCGAAAAUUGACUUUUUUCCGAAUUUUCAAAGUGCUAUAAUUCCACUUGUUCUGGUCGAAUAUUGUUAUAAUCCGGUGUUUUCGUAAUGUAGGUGAUGGGAAUAAGCCACUGAUAGGGGUUUCUAUAGCUAUUUUCGGGUUUAAAGAGAAUCGAUUUUUCGCAUUUUCAAAGUGCUCUAACUCCCUUAGUUUUUCUCAAAACUCAUUAUAACCCGGUGUUUUUGUGUUGUAUGUGAUGGGAUCAAGCCGCUGGUAUAGUUAGUUCAAAUUCGAAAAAAAUCAAUUUUUGGUGAAAAAAUCGAUACGGGGGGGUAUACCCUAAAAAUGAAAAAUCCCAAACUUUGGAGGUCCAUAUCUCGGCUUCUAUGGGCACUAUCGGGAAAAUUUCAACGGUUUUGACUUAGUUUCGUCCUUCUGAAUCCAACGAGACCAUCCGCAAGGUCGUAGCUCCCAUAUUAGCUGAGAUCUCGCAUUUUUGUGGCCCAUUUUUGGGCUCAAAAACGGGGUCGAAAAUUGACUUUUUUCCGAAUUUUCAAAGUGCUAUAAUUCCACUUGUUCUGGUCGAAUUCCGUUAUAAUCCGGUGUUUUCGUAAUGUAGGUGAUGGGAAUAAGCCACUGAUAGGGGUUUCUAUAGCUAUUUUCGGGUUUAAAGAAAAUCGAUUUUUCGCAUUUUCAAAGUGCUAUAACUCCCUUAGUUUUUCUCGAAACUCAUUAUAACCCGGUGUUUUUGUGUUGUAGGUGAUGGGAUCA
rnacentral:lncRNA from 1 species